UACGGAGGGUGCGAGCGUUAAUCGGAAUUACUGGGCGUAAAGAGCACGUAGGUGGUUUGGUAAGUCGGAUGUGAAAUCCCUGGGCUCAACCUGGGAAUUGCAUUCGAAACUGCCUCACUAGAGUUUAGCAGAGGGAUGGGGAAUUCCGGGUGUAGCGGUGAAAUGCGUAGAGAUCCGGAGGAACAUCAGUGGCGAAGGCG
rnacentral:rRNA from 1 species